GCGCAGGCAGCGCUGGGGGAGGACUUUUAAAGAGAAGAAUCAGCCGUUAACGACAACUUCCGGUGACGAGCGGCAGCCUCGGAGCUUUGGUGGGACGCAGGCGUGUUCUCCUCUCCUUAUCCUCGAUACGAUCAGGGUUGCUGGGUCCUAUUGGGAUCUUUGAUCUACAGCAGAACUCAAAGAUUGUAGUUCUGCGCAAUGGCACGUUACCGUUUUUGGAGCUCGCCAAUUGGCACAUUUCAGCAUGUCCAGGUCUGGCCUGAAGUCAGACACCUUCAGGGCCUGUGUAGCCAUGGGGAAACAAAUUCUCACUGGUGUUGCAUACUAAAAGAGCCGGAACAUCGAAGACAAAAAGAGUGGCUAUCAGAGGGCUCUGCACUCAGUAAUUGAUUUGCUGAUUCUGGAGUCGGGGAACUCAAAUUAAAAAAGCAAAGCUUCAGACUGUAACAUCACAAUAGAGACUUCUGUCUCCCCUGUUGUUGUGGAAGGAGCGAUAUCUGUCUCUCCCUUGUUAGUGAGAGAGAGCCUGUGGAAUGUUGAAAUGUUGGAGUGAACAGUUUUUGAUGGACUGUAAACCAUGAUCUCUCUUUGGGAGUUUUGAUUUUGCAUGGGUGGUGGGAAUGCUGAUGCUUUAUGUUAGAAUAAGUGGGGAGAGAGUUGAUGCUGCUUGUGCACGGGAGUGGGGUAGGGGCUUUGGGGUUCUUAAGUUUUUCUGUCAUUCAUUCUUUGGGUUUUGUCUGGGGAGAGUAAGAAUUUCAGGUUGUAUAUUGUAUACAUUCUCUGGUAUUAAAUGGAACUAUUGAACUGGUUGGCAUACACUGUUUUACCUUCUAUGUUCUAAUGUUUUUCUUAAUGUUUAGCCAGUUUUAUCAACUCAUCUGGGGUGUUCCAGUAAAUGUGGAAGAUCUGAACUGCUCCACAUAAUGAGGUCAUUUGUAAAAAUCACAAAGAGAAGAGGUCCCAGAACAGAUCCUUGAGGCACAACACUGGUCACUGACCUCCAUGCAGAAUAUGACCUGUCUAAAACCACUCUUUGUCUUCUGUGGGCAAGCCAAUUCUGGAUCCACAAAGCAAGGGUUCUUUUGAAGACCCUGACCUGGAGUUACACACUGAUUUCGGUUCUCUGUGGGAAUGGGACCCGCUCUUGGGGCCACAUGAUUGGCUGCUUUUCAAUAUGCUGAGGUUGCAGCCCAGAAGACCAGUGCACCUUCAGGGUGCUGGAUCUUUGUGGCUCUGGAGGCAGGCAGAUUCGAGAACUCCCACCACCCAGGUGAUACUCUCUUCUCACUGCUGCCAUCAGGAAGAAGGAUUAAGAGUGUCAGGAUUCACGUCACCAGGUUCAAGGAAAGUUAUUAUCCCUCAACCAUCAGGCACUUGAACCAGAGGGGAUAACUUCACUUACCCCAUCACUGAACUGCUCCCACAACCGAUGGGCUCACAUUUAAUGACUCUUCAUCUCAUAUUCUUGAUAUUUAUUGUUUAUUUAUUUAUUAUUAUUUUAUUUUUGUUGCAUUUGCACUGUCUGUUGUCUUUUGCAUACUGAUUUUCACCUUGUUGGUGUGGUCAACUACAUAUACCUGUCUGGACACGUAUAGCUGACUGCUC